rnacentral:rRNA from 1 species
GACAGAGGGUGCAAACGUUGCUCGGAAUUACUGGCGUAAAGGGCGUGUAGGCGGGAAGGCAAGUCGGGCGUGAAAUCCCCAGGCUCAACCUGGGAACUGCACUCGAAACUGCCUUUCUUGAGUGCCGGAGAGGAAAGCGGAAUUCCUGGUGUAGAGGUGAAAAUUCGUAGAUAUCAGGAGGAACACCAGUGGCGAAGGCGGCUUUCUGGACGGUAACUGACGCUGAGACGCGAAAGCGUGGGGAGCAAA